AGAGUUUGAUCCUGGCUCAGAACGAACGCUGGUGGCAGGCCUACACAUGCAAGUCGAGCGCGCCCUUCGGGGUGAGCGGCGGACGGGAUAGUAACGCGUGGGAAUAUGCCCAAAGGUACGGAAUAGCCUCUGGAAACGGAGAGUAAUACCGUAUGUGCCCUUCGGGGGAAAGAUUUAUCGCCUUUGGAUUAGCCUGCGUUAGAUUAGGUAGUUAGUGGGGUAAUGGCCUACCAAGCCUACGAUCUAUAGCUGGUUUUAGAGGAUGAUCAGCAACACUGGGACUGAGACACGGCCCAGACUCCUACGGGAGGCAGCAGUGGGGAAUCUUGGACAAUGGGGGCAACCCUGAUCCAGCCAUGCCGCGUGAGUGAUGAAGGCCUUAGGGUCGUAAAGCUCUUUCGCCUGUGAAGAUAAUGACGGUAGCAGGUAAAGAAACCCCGGCUAACUCCGUGCCAGCAGCCGCGGUAAU
rnacentral:rRNA from 1 species